rnacentral:misc_RNA from 1 species
GUGUUCCUGGAUUGCCGAAUAUUUCUUCCAACACAAGUCUCAGUUCUCAACCUAGUUUUCUAGGGUUGGGAAUGAGUUCGGGUAAAUGAAUGUCCAGAGCUAUUUAUAUGUUUUAUGGGUGUAUGUGUUAAUUACAGUAACAGGCCGAAGGUCCCAAUUGCAAAGCGACUGAGCCUGAUCCAAGAACUCAAACACUGGCGGUGUCCUUCCUCAACCUAAAACGUUUAGCAAGAAAUGUUUUUUCUUGAAUUAUCAGGAGCAAAACCCACAAAAACUUUUUAUGCUACUACCAAAGCCAGAGCAAAGUUGCUUAGCUCUAUGUAUUACGUUGAAAUUUGGGAAUAUCAAGAGAUCAAAGUCCUUUUUACAGGUUUUUUUUUAAGUCUCUUC